GCGCCCAUAGCUCAACUGGAUAGAGCACUAGCCUACGGAGCUAGGUGUUGGUGGUUCAAAUCCACCUGGGCGCA
rnacentral:tRNA from 1 species